rnacentral:lncRNA from 1 species
CUGGAGUGCAGUGGCGCAAUCUCAGCUAACUGAAACCUCUGCCUCCCGGAUUCAAGUGAUUUUCCUGCCUCAGCCUCUCCAGUAGCUGGGAUUACAGGCGUGUGCUACCAUGCCCAGGUAUUAGAAUAUUUAAAUGAUCUGAAACAAUAUUGGAAAAGAGGAUAUGGGUAUACUAUUAACAGUCGAUCCAGCUGCACCUUGUUUCAGGAUAUCUUUCAGCACUUGGACAAAGCAGUUGAACAGAAACAAAGGUCUCAGCCAAUUUCUUCUCCAGUCAUCCUCCAGUUUGGUCAUGCAGAGACUCUUCUUCCACUGCUUUCUCUCAUGGGCUACUUCAAAGACAAGGAACCCCUAACAGCGUACAAUUACAAAAAACAAAUGCAUCGGAAGUUCCGAAGUGGUCUCAUUGUACCUUAUGCCUCGAACCUGAUAUUUGUGCUUUACCACUGUGAAAAUGCUAAGACUCCUAAAGAACAAUUCCGAGUGCAGAUGUUAUUAAAUGAAAAGGUGUUACCUUUGGCUUACUCACAAGAAACUGUUUCAUUUUAUGAAGAUCUGAAGAACCACUACAAGGACAUCCUUCAGAGUUGUCAAACCAGUGAAGAAUGUGAAUUAGCAAGGGCUAACAGUACAUCUGAUGAACUAUGAGUAACUGAAGAACAUUUUUAAUUCUUUAGGAAUCUGCAAUGAGUGAUUACAUGCUUGUAAUAGGUAGGCAAUUCCUUGAUUACAGGAAGCUUUUAUAUUACUUGAGUAUUUCUGUCUUUUCACAGAAAAACAUUGGGUUUCUCUCUGGGUUUGGACAUGAAAUGUAAGAAAAGAUUUUUCACUGGAGCAGCUCUCUUAAGGAGAAACAAAUCUAUUUAGAGAAACAGCUGGCCCUGCAAAUGUUUACAGAAAUGAAAUUCUUCCUACUUAUAUAAGAAAUCUCACACUGAGAUAGAAUUGUGAUUUCAUAAUAACACUUGAAAAGUGCUGGAGUAACAAAAUAUCUCAGUUGGACCAUCCUUAACUUGAUUGAACUGUCUAGGAACUUUACAGAUUGUUCUGCAGUUCUCUCUUCUUUUCCUCAGGUAGGACAGCUCUAGCAUUUUCUUAAUCAGGAAUAUUGUGGUAAGCUGGGAGUAUCACUCUGGAAGAAAGUAACAUCUCCAGAUGAGAAUUUGAAACAAGAAACAGAGUGUUGUAAAAGGACACCUUCACUGAAGCAAGUCGGAAAGUACAAUGAAAAUAAAUAUUUUUGGUAUUUAUUUAUGAAAUAUUUGAACAUUUUUUCAAUAAUUCCUUUUUACUUCUAGGAAGUCUCAAAAGACCAUCUUAAAUUAUUAUAUGUUUGGACAAUUAGCAACAAGUCAGAUAGUUAGAAUCGAAGUUUUUCAAAUCCAUUGCUUAGCUAACUUUUUCAUUCUGUCACUUGGCUUCGAUUUUUAUAUUUUCCUAUUAUAUGAAAUGUAUCUUUUGGUUGUUUGAUUUUUCUUUCUUUCUUUGUAAAUAGUUCUGAGUUCUGUCAAAUGCCGUGAAAGUAUUUGCUAUAAUAAAGAAAAUUCUUGUGACUUUA